rnacentral:rRNA from 1 species
UACGGAGGGUGCGAGCGUUGUCCGGAAUCACUGGGCGUAAAGGGCGCGUAGGCGGCAUGCCAAGCGUGUGGUGAAAGCCCGGGGCUCAACCCCGGGGUCGGCCGUGUGGACUGGCGUGCCCGAGCACUGUAGGGGCGGGUGGAAUUCCGGGGUGUAGCGGUGGAAUGCGUAGAGAUCCGGAAGAACACCGGUGGCGAAGGCGGCCCGCUGGGCAGGAAGACACCGCAAGGUGUCGGCUGACGCUGAGGCGCGACAGCGUGGGGAGCAAACAGG